rnacentral:rRNA from 1 species
CCUACGGGUGGCAGCAGUGAGGAAUAUUGGUCAAUGGGCGCGAGCCUGAACCAGCCAAGUAGCGUGAAGGAUGACUGCCCUACGGGUUGUAAACUUUUUUUAUAAAGGAAUAAAGUGAGGCACGCUUGCCUUUUUGUAUGUACUUUAUGAAUAAGGUUCGGCUAACUCCUGUCCAGCAGCCGCGGUAAUACGGAGGAUCCGAGCGUUAUCCGGAUUUCUUGGGUUUAAAGGGUGUGUAAAUGGGUUGUUCAGUCAGUUGUGAAAGUUUGCGGCUCAACCGUGAAAUUGCAAUUGAUACUGGCAGCCUUGAGUACAGUUGAGGUAGGCGGAAGUCGUGGUGUAGCGGUGAAAUGCUUAGAUAUCACGCAGAACUCCGAUUGCGAAGGCAGCAUACCGGCGCCCAACUGACACUGAAGCACGAAAGCGUGGGUAUCGAACAGGAUUAGAUACCCUUGUAGUC